UCCAAUGGAUUCCUAAGCACUUGAUGCACGU
rnacentral:piRNA from 1 species